UGACCAGGGGGCCGGGUUGCUCUGAUCAAAUGGGAUCGGCGUGAUCUACGGGUACAGGGAGUGCCUGCGACCUGUUCGCAACCGUU
rfam:Pseudomonas fluorescens ABAC62 scaffold1032_001, whole genome shotgun sequence.